GUGCCAGCAGCCGCGGUAAUACGGAGGGUGCGAGCGUUAAUCGGAAUUACUGGGCGUAAAGCGUGCGUAGGCGGCUUGAUAAGCCGGUUGUGAAAGCCCCGGGCUCAACCUGGGAACGGCAUCCGGAACUGUCAGGCUAGAGUGCAGGAGAGGAAGGUAGAAUUCCCGGUGUAGCGGUGAAAUGCGUAGAGAUCGGGAGGAAUACCAGUGGCGAAGGCGGCCUUCUGGACUGACACUGACGCUGAGGUACGAAAGCGUGGGUAGCAAACAGGAUUAGAUACCCUGGUAGUCCACGCCGUAAACGAUGUCGACUAGCCGUUGGGGUCCUCGAGACCUUUGUGGCGCAGUUAACGCACUAAGUCGACCGCCUGGGGAGUACGGCCGCAAGGUUAAAACUCAAAUGAAUUGACGGGGG
rnacentral:rRNA from 1 species